rnacentral:lncRNA from 1 species
AGGAAAGAACCAUUUAAAUGUCUGGCCUGGAAGUCCUGGGAGAAGAGACCAGCUUGCUGUGCUGGAGGCACCCAGGCAGGGCCCACCAGGAAGACAAAGAAAUGACAAGUAUGAGCACCUGCUGUACACAGGCCAAGUCUCAGCCGGCAGAGUCUUCAGCCCCAAGAGGAUGCGACCGGCCUGGACCAAACGUCAGGUCUGCAUGGCCCGGCGCUUCAGAAACGCCGAGGGUUUCAAUCCUAAGGGGUGCCCGCCCCCGCCGCUCCGUGGAGCCAUAGUCCCGAGUAGCUUCGUGGUCUCAGAGAAGCCAUCGGGGCUGGUGGCCUGUGUCUGCUUUUCUACACAUCAAGGAGACGAUCAGACCCUUCCGGAAAGUGGCCGGUUUUGUCCAGGGUAGUGUAAGGCUGCCUGGGAUCUGUCCUCUGUCCUUCAUUCUCCCAUUAACCCAGUGGGGGGGGGGGGCCCUUCCCUGACUUAUUUUUUUUUUUCACUUUAGCCUCCUCUUCUGCAUUGUUUUGUUUUGUCUUUUUUUUCUUUUUUUUUUAAACCUCUGUGCCCGGCUCCCAUUAUGGAAAGUGCUGUUUAUGUCCAGGGCCCCUUAAAAAGGCAGCUAACGGCUCCCUGGCUGCGGUCCUCUCUGCUUGUUUCCCUGGCAACCGGAGGCAGGGAAAACAGAACCUGUCAGAUGGAAAAUGUCAGUUACAGCAGAUCUGGGGAGAGGAAAGAAGGGGUGG